CACUGGGUUCACUUUGUUCUCAAGUUAAGACUGGGGGACCUUGGAGACCCAAACCCCUCCUUUAUAGAGCAGGAGAUUGAGGAGCAAGAAGCUGAAUGACUUGGCCAAGGUCACAGAACAGAGCAGGACCCAGGAUCGAAGAAUAAUUGGAAGUGGAACCAAGCAAGGCAGAGUCGAAGGGCAAUGAAGUAUGGAGAGGAGCCUGCAGCCAGAGGUCGGGCCCGUCUCCAUGCUCCCGCCAGGCAGAGGCUGCCCUGGGCUGCUCUACCUGGUCUUUUGGACAAGGUUCUAAGGAUAAUUCUGCAGCCAUGAUGGUCGUGAUUCCCACAGCAGACUCCAAGAUUUCUGCACUUGAGCAAUGUUGGGUGCCACUGGACUUGUUCUGAGACCCUUGCCCUAGAGGAUGGCCAAGGGGCUCCUUGUUACCUAUGCCCUCUGGGCUGUAGGGGGCCCUGCAGGGCUCCACCACCUGUACCUGGGAAGGGACAGCCACGCCCUGCUCUGGAUGCUUACCCUGGGUGGGGGUGGGGUGGGGUGGCUCUGGGAGUUCUGGAAGCUCCCCAGCUUUGUAGCUCAGGCCAACAGAGCCCAGGGGCUGAGGCAGAGCCCAGGAAGGGGAAUGCCCCCUUUGAGUCCCAUUCGCUUUGCUGCCCAGAUGAUAGUAGGCAUCUACUUUGGCCUUGUGGCUCUGAUUAGCCUUUCUUCCAUGGCCAACUUCUACACUGUGGCCCUUCCAUUGGCAGUUGGCUUAGGGGUCUUGCUGGUAGCUGCUGUUGGCAACCAGACCUCAGACUUUAAGAACACUUUAGGAGUGGCAUUCCUUACUUCCCCUAUCUUCUAUGGUCGCCCCAUAGCCAUCCUACCAAUUAGCUUAGCUGCCAGUAUCGCAGCCCAGAAGCAUCGCCGCUACAAAGCUUCAGUGAAGUCAGAGACACUCAGUGUGCGGCUUUACCGGCUGGGCUUGGCUUACCUCGCUUUCACGGGCCCACUGGUAUACAGCACCCUCUGCAACACAGCUGCCACCAUCAGCUACAUAGCAGAAACUCUUGGCUCCUUCUUGAGUUGGUUCAGCUUCUUCCCCCUUGUUGGCCACCUCAUGGAAUCUGUCCUCCUUCUGCCUUACCGGAUCUGGAGGCUACUGGUAGGGGAUCCUGGCUUCAGCAGCAGCUACUUCCAAGAGUGGGAGAAACUCUAUGAGUUUGUUCACGGUUUCCAGGAUGAAAAACGUCACCUGGCUUAUCAGGUUUUGGGUAUCCCAGAAGGGGCAACAGAUGAAGAAAUACAUCAGAGUUACCGGGAGCUGGUGAAGGUCUGGCACCCUGACCACAAUCUGCACCAGACAGAGGAAGCACAGAGGCACUUCCUGGAGAUCCAGGCUGCGUAUGAAGUCCUGAGUCAGCCCAGGAAGCCCAAGGGAUCCUGAAGCCACUGGCAACCACCAUUGUACAUUUCUGACUCCAUGAAUUUGACAACCCGUGUAUGUGUAUAAGUAGAAUCAUCAUUUGACAUAUGUGUAAUCUUCCUGGAAAGAGACAUGAAUGAAUGCCUGCAAUGAUACUUUUUGACAAGCAGUUGAUACAAGAGAAGGAAAGGAGAUUAACAGCAGUGAGCAGAAUUUCCAACAACCAGGAUUUUGUAUUUAUGACUUCUAAUUAUAGACUUUUGUUGCUGGCAUAAAUCAAAGAUACCUACACAAAGGCAAAAGGAUACUUUUCUUCUGUAUUUUUUGAGAUCAAAGAAACUGCAAUGUCUAGGAAACAAAGCCAGAAGGGUAAGAUUACCCGUGGGCAUAAAUUGUUAAAAGCAUAGUUGUAGAGCAAUGAUCCCCAUUUAUAAUCUAUAUAUUUAAAAACUGUUUCUAACAAAGUGUUUUGAAUGGCUUUGCAAAUGCUCUAGGCUGUUAGGUAUUAGCUUUGUGUAGUACUAGUCUGGGAAUAAUUUGUAUAACAAUUGCUUUUCUACUUAUGCAAACAUUAAAUUGUAAUAUACUUACAGGAAGGCCAAAUGCACCUUGGCGGUGCACUUUUGGAGAGUAAAAGCUUUAGGAAGAUGUGGUAGACAGCUUACUGCAGAGCAUUCUGUGUCCUUUGAGUUAACAUUUUACUGGAGAAAGGAAAUGAAACAAGAGUAAAUGCUGGUGGUUUUUGUUCCUCCUUCACCUUUCCUUCCAGGAGUGUCACUCUAGCUUCUUAUCUCAAGUAAAAUGUAAAGUGCCAAAGAGUCAGGAAGCUCAAUGGUCAAGGGUAGUUGAAUGAGGGGAAGGACAAUAAAGGCUUUGUAAAACUAUUUUCAACUUUCCUAGAAUAGCUGCAAACAUUUAAAGGGACAAAUUUAACAAUAGCACUAGAACUAUUAAUAUUACAUGUUACUGGAAUAUAUUUGUUAAAAGAAUGACCAUAGGUAUCUUGGCCUUUUCUCCUUCACUCAGUUUAACAUUCAAUUUAAAAUUGAUGUUCUUUAAUUCAAAACAAAGCUCCGUAGAUCCCGGUCUCACAUGUUAUAUUUGACAGAAAUGCUUUUAAACUUUAUUUUGACUUGGUAGUUCAAAAACCUCUCAAAAGAAUAAUAUAUCAGAGCUGCUUAUGAUUUUGAAAAUUGUAGUUUCAUUGUAUUGUAUUUUCUUCAUCUAGACUUAACUGUAUGAAGAAAAUCAGAGUUCUAAGGAAUGGCUAGAUUAUACCGAAUUAUUUAUGGAGAGAGAUUUAUAAAGUGAAAAUUUUUUUAUAACCUCAAUUCUUAGUCAUCAUAAUUGUUUGUUUUUUUCCCAGUAAUGGUUGAAACAUUGAGCAUCUUGUUUUUUUCUCCUACAAAUGAAAAAUACUGUGGUAAAAAUAGGAUUCUGGACUUUACAAUAAAAUAAUUCCAUCUACAAAGUUUAGCAUUAUUUAAGUAUUCCUAAAAAUACUGGCUUUGCAAAUGCUCUAGGCUAUUAGGUAUUAGCUUUGCUUUGAUCUCUUUAGCAGAUUGCUUUGAUCUCUUUAAAACUGGAGUCUUCAUUUAUUUCAUUACUUUUCUGCCAGAGCUGUAAAAAAAAUUGUUGCUUUUUGUAAUUGGUAUCUAAAUACUAUUAAAUGAACUUAAAUUUUAGACUACAUCAUAGGCAUUAAGUGAUUAUUAAUUUUGGUUAAACUUAGCCUAUAUUUACGCUUUAUUUGGAAAGAUAAUAAAGUUUGUGGUGUUGGGACUUUUUUCUGAAUCAAAAAUCUAUGCAUGUAAUGAUUUAUAUGUCUGAUAUUUGAUAUAGAAAAGCACAAAGUAUUAUAAAAUUUUGUCGUAUUUAUUGAUUUAUACAUUUAGAUUUUCAUUGUUUGGGGUUUUAUUAGUUCAAAUAAUCUGUAAUUAUAAUGACUUUUAUCAUCUACUUAGUAGAUUUUGUUCUCUAGAGGCAUCUCAUUUAACAGUCAUUUUGUAAUGAGUUAUGAUUUAUUCCACAAUAAACCGUGUUUCCAUA